rnacentral:rRNA from 1 species
UACGUAGGGUGCAAGCGUUAAUCGGAAUACUGGGCGUAAGCGUGCGCAGGCGGUUGUGUAAGACAGAUGUGAAAUCCCCGGGCUCAACCCUGGGAACCUGGCAUUUGUGACUGCACAGCUGGAGUGCGGCAGAGGGGGAUGGAAUUCCGCGUGUAGCAGUGAAAUGCGUAGAUAUGCGGAGGAACACCGAUGGCGAAGGCAAUCCCCUGGGCCUGCACUGACGCUCAUGCACGAAAGCGUGGG